rnacentral:rRNA from 1 species
AUUGAACGCGGGCGGCAGGCCUAACACAUGCAAGUCGAGCGGAUGAGAAGAGCUUGCUCUUCGAUUCAGCGGCGGACGGGUGAGUAAUGCCUAGGAAUCUGCCUGGUAGUGGGGGACAACGUUUCGAAAGGAACGCUAAUACCGCAUACGUCCUACGGGAGAAAGCAGGGGACCUUCGGGCCUUGCGCUAUCAGAUGAGCCUAGGUCGGAUUAGCUAGUUGGUGAGGUAAUGGCUCACCAAGGCGACGAUCCGUAACUGGUCUGAGAGGAUGAUCAGUCACACUGGAACUGAGACACGGUCCAGACUCCUACGGGAGGCAGCAGUGGGGAAUAUUGGACAAUGGGCGAAAGCCUGAUCCAGCCAUGCCGCGUGUGUGAAGAAGGUCUUUGGAUUGUAAAGCACUUUAAGUUGGGAGGAAGGGCAGUAAGUUAAUACCUUGCUGUUUUGACGUUACCGACAGAAUAAGCACCGGCUAACUCUGUGCCAGCCGCCGCGUAACAC